AGGCUGUGGCCAUGUGCCUUUCCUUCCUGCUUCAUGUAACUAAGAAAGGGUUGGAGGCCCAAGGAUUGGCAAAUAGGAGUUCAUUGCGACUUCAGGCCUCAGCCAGGAUAUGUAGAGAGUUUGGAAGUCGUCACUACUGUUCUCAUGACAAGGAAAAUACUACAAAUUAAAAAUCGAUCAUGACUUUUCUUGGACCUACCAGGAACUUAAGUUGCAGGGUAAACUGGAUCCUGAAAUCUGGAGAGAUGAAGGCAUCCAGAGAGACGCAGCCAAGAUCUGCUGAACCAGCCAAGAACAGAAGCUGCUGGAACCGUAAACUGACACUGAGUGAAGCACUGAAAAAAGGGCAGGAAUGAAGCUCCUCCAGUAGGGUGUGGAGGCUCCCAGGAGGGCCCCCCAGUCUUCUGCUGAGCCUGUCACCUCCUGCAUUGGGUUCCCCUGAUGCUCUGGCCCCAGCGCACAGAUCCCUGAUCUGGGCUCACUCCCUCAUUCAGAACGAGGACACUGAGGUCAGAGGCAAAACCAUUCAUGUGGCCUCUUAUGACGCUGCUGGAUUCUGGAGACAGACAUCUUUGCAUGCUGCUAAUCACGACCCUGUUAUUAGGAAGUCAAAAGGGGUAGGAUGUAGAUAGGGGAAGAGCAAAGAUGCUUGUUUUCCUAUCUGAUGUCCUCCCUCCUGUCUAGCAAGAGAUCCAGAAAAAACAAAAUCUCCAGAGAUUCUGCAAGUCACACGAGUCUUGGCUUGCUUUUUUUCAAAUUAGCUCUAAGAUCUUAAAUGACCCCAGCUACUGAGAUCAGUAUUCUGGCAGCAAUAACAAAUAAGCGUUGAGGUGGCAGUCAGUCCCCACACCCAGCCACGUGUACAUGUUUAUUUUAUAUUCUAUCCUUGUAUAUUUAAAUAUGUCAGGUUUUUAUCUAACUUGUCUGAACUCCCAUGUAAAAAUGUGUGAAAGUAGGUCUCUCGCAUCUAAAGGUAUUUAAUACGUGGUUUCUGGGUUAGAAAUAUAAAUUUAAGAAAAUUUUGAAGUCUAAACUGGAGAAGCGAAAGUCAUAACUAUCAUGUCUCCGGAUGAAGUCUUUUGUAGAUUUCUUCCGUUGAGCGACAGGAUGAGUGUUCUACAAUCAGAUCAAUGAAAGCUGGUGGCUUCUUCGGGAUUUUACUGAGGACAAAGGAGGAGGUUCUGCACAUGAUUAACUUUGUCUGAUUGAAUUGAGAGUUUCUGAAUGAUUAAGAAACUAGAGUUUGACUAAGUCAGAAACCAUGCGGUCUAUAACAGAAAACUUCUAAAGAAAAACAACAUAAAUUUCCAGUAGAAGCAAGCAGAUGAUUUCUGUAACUUCAUAACCAGGACAAGAACUCCGUUCACUUCCUGUUCUGGAUAAAGUCCCUGAACUGAGGCCACUCCAGCACAAGGGGGUGAAACAUCUUUUCAGUGACUUCUCGGAAAAAGAAAAAUUCUCUCUUGAAA